UUUUGUCCAUGUGUUGAUGAGGUAGGGAAUUUGGGGUGUUGCCUGCAUUCCCAUGAGGUGAGCCCCUGGCUUCUGAGGGAUGAGGGGAAUUGGGUCUGGCAGGAGAAAGGGAAAGACACUAAGGGUGAGCUUGACCUUUGUACUUUGAUUAAAAGCCUGUUUUCAUCUCAGGGAAUGGCUGACUUGGGAUUUAGAAUGGAAGGUAGAUCCAUGACACAACUCUUUUGAAAAUAGAAUAAAUACCCUGGACUCUGUUUAACCUUAAAAGAAAUAUAGAGCAGGCCAAAUAUGAUUUGUAAAUUAAGGGUAAUGUAAUUGGUUGAUCUGUCAAAUGAAAGGACUUAUCUAGGGAGGGGCAGCUGCUUUCUCAUUCACCCUGAUCCAGCCUUUAUUCCGACAUCCAAAUUGAUCAAACAAUGGGAAAAACCAUAUUGCCAAGAUAAACACAGAAGUCUGUCAGUUAAAUGUAAGCAAUGAUCCAGUUUCCAGCCAUGAGCACCAAUGAAGGUGUGGUCACUACCUUCUUGAGCUUUGUGUUAUUUUGUAGAAAACAUCCCCAAACCCACCCAGAAGUUUGGUGAUUUUUCUUCAGUGGUUUUGCUCCUUGGCAUCCAUUCCGCAAGGAAUCGCUGUUCACUUUAAUCAUUGUCCCCAAGGGUCCUUUGAUAAAUUGAGACUGAGACCCAUAACACUCAUAGAGAAACUCAUCCUGUCUGCUGCCCUGGGUCUUUUAACACCUGGCUGCAUGGAGCCAUGAGUUCUCCAAUGUGUCCCUAGCUAUCCUUGCUCCUUCUGCAGACCCAUAGGGUUGUUGAAGUUUGCUGAUCCCCUCACCGUGCACUAUUUUACUUAAUUUCUAUCACUGAAGUGCCUGCGUUCCCAGGCUUUGUGAUUACUUUUCCAGCUCUGUUAACACUUUGUGUGCUGGGCAGAGAAUGAGCUCUCCACUUGCCGUGAGCACUUGUGUAGUUUGCACUCGUUUCUCAGAAGCCGCCUCCUCUGUCCCCUCUUUAUUAGCCCCAGUCCAUGCCCCUUUCCCUUCUGGACAGUAUCACCUUCAGCUCACCCUGUUGUAUCCCCAAGAUCUUUUCUAUCCUGGGUGCUUCAGCAAGAGCAGGGUGUUGUGCAGCAUUCCUGGGGGUCCUUGGGGAGAGGGGAGACUGGUGUACUGACUGCUGCAUGCCUCGCUCAUAAUACCUCCUUCUCUCCUUGUGUCUCUGGCUGUGAUCACUGCAGUGCGAAGGACCCUGAAGAGUGGCCUGACUCCAGAAGAAGCCAGAGCCCUGGGCCUGGUUGGCACCUCCGAGCUUCAGCUGUGACGUUCUUGGGGCACCCUCUGAGCAGAGAGAGUACCAGCUCCUGCACGAACUUU
rnacentral:lncRNA from 1 species